rnacentral:rRNA from 1 species
UACGUAGGGUGCGAGCGUUAAUCGGAAUUACUGGGCGUAAAGCGUGCGCAGGCGGUUAUGUAAGACAGUUGUGAAAUCCCCGGGCUCAACCUGGGAACUGCAUCUGUGACUGCAUAGCUAGAGUACGGUAGAGGGGGAUGGAAUUCCGCGUGUAGCAGUGAAAUGCGUAGAUAUGCGGAGGAACACCGAUGGCGAAGGCAAUCCCCUGGACCUGUACUGACGCUCAUGCACGAAAGCGUGGGGAGCAAACAGG